UACGUAGGGUCCGAGCGUUGUCCGGAAUUACUGGGCGUAAAGAGCUCGUAGGUGGUUUGUCGCGUUGUCCGUGAAAACUCACAGCUCAACUGUGGGCGUGCGGGCGAUACGGGCAGACUGGAGUACUGCAGGGGAGACUGGAAUUUACGGUGUAGCAGUGAAAUGCGUAGAGAUCGUAAGGAAGGCCGGUGGCGAAGGCGAGUUCCUGGACAGUUACUGACGCUGAGGCACGAAGGCCAGGGGAGCAAACGGG
rnacentral:rRNA from 1 species